GACGAACGCUGGCGGCGUGCAUAACACAUGCAAGUCGAACGAUGAAGAAGAGAAUGGAGACUUCGGUCAAAGUUCGCUUCGGAUUAGUGGCAGACGGGUGAGUAACGCGUGAGCAACCUACCUCUUACAAAGGGAUAGCCAUGGGAAACCGUGAUUAAUACCUUAUGACACUUAGAUAUCGCAUGAUAAUUAAGUUAAAGAAUUUCGGUGAAAGACGGUCUCGCGUCUGAUUAGCUAGUUGGUAAGGUAACGGCUUACCAAGGCAACGAUCAGUAGCCGGAUUGAGAGGUUGAACGGCCACACUGGAACUGAGACACGGUCCAG
rnacentral:rRNA from 1 species